rnacentral:rRNA from 1 species
AUUGAACGCUGGCGGCAUGCUUUACACAUGCAAGUCGAACGGUAACAGGCCUUCGGGUGCUGACGAGUGGCGAACGGGUGAGUGAUGCAUCGGAACGUGCCCAGGGGUGGGGGAUAACGCAGCGAAAGCUGUGCUAAUACCGCAUGUGAUCUGAGGAUGAAAGCGGGGGACCAGGCAGCAAUGUUUGGCCUCGCGCCUUUGGAGCGGCCGAUGUCAGAUUAGGUAGUUGGUGGGGUAAAGGCCUACCAAGCCGACGAUCUGUAGCUGGUCUGAGAGGACGACCAGCCACACUGGGACUGAGACACGGCCCAGACUCCUACGGGAGGCAGCAGUGGGGAAUUUUGGACAAUGGGCGCAAGCCUGAUCCAGCAAUGCCGCGUGCGGGAAGAAGGCCUUCGGGUUGUAAACCGCUUUUGUACGGAACGAAAAGGCUCUGGCUAAUACCUGGGGCUGAUGACGGUACCGUAAGAAUAAGCACCGGCUAACUACGUG